AAAUGUACAAAAAAUUAAAAUAGCCUGAAGAAUCCGCAUCUCUUUGUCUGUUGAUAUGACUUGCACAAGUCCUUUAGGAACAGUUACAUUCCAGAAAAAACUUUGAUUAUUAAUUGAUACUAUAAGAAACAAAGCAUAAAUUAAUUGUUUUGUCUCCCACAGUUUACAUAUGUAGCAGUGCAGUUUCUGAUGAUGAAUAUUGAUGGAUUGUCCCUUGAAACUGUUUGCAUUGUAUGCUGAGUUUUGUACUUCAAAACUGUGCAAUAUGGUAGUGAUGGAGAGCAAGAUACAGAUACA
rnacentral:lncRNA from 1 species